GGACCGGUGGUCCAAACGGUAAGACAUUCCCAUUCCCCUGAGGCUAAUGAGAGUUCGAUCCUCUCCCGGUCCA